AGGAAAAUAUUGUGUUCCAAGUACAUUAAAAUCUAUUCAAUACCGAAAAAUCCGAAAUACGUGAGAAUAUAUGUCUAUAAAACUCUAUAUGGACAACGAUAUACGCGUAUAUACUACAGUUUUUAAUCGAAUAUAAUAAAUAAGCUUUCGAUGUUCGAGAAACGACUGAGUGAGAGAUUUGUAGACCUAUAGAGUCGAUUUGUACAUUAGUCUAUACCCACCAUUGAACCCAAAUUUAUGGAACUUCCAAAUAGCUCGGUGAAACAUGAUUACACACGGUCCUUAUCGGCGAUACCCUUUUAGGCGUACGGUUGCGCGCGCUUCAUCAUUUCUAUUACCAUGCAACGUUGCCAAAUAAUAUGUAAACUAUAGUACUAUAAUUAUACUGUAAACAUGGUAUCUACCUAAAUAAUAUAUUAACAGCAACUUUUAUAUUAGAUUUACAAGAAUUA